GAUCGUCAGCACUGAUGCACAUCGAUCGAUUGUUCUUCCUCUCGUCGACCUCUAAGUGGUCAGCUCGGUUGAAAUGUCCUUUAAGCUCCAAAAUGCUCCAAAGUCAUAGCUUUACUCCAAAAUGCACCUGAACCUGAAAACAUACCUAGAAGAGUAGAAAACAUAGAUAUAUAUAUAGUAAAAUACUUAUAUACCAUGGAUAAAAAUGGGUCAAAUUCAAGGUAUAUCACUCGUAUCCGAGAAUAUCAAAUGAGAGAUGUGAACCUGAAGAAGAUACGAGAGAAUUUGAAUUAAGGAAACAUCGGAGGAUAUCAAGUUGCAAGUGAUUGAACUUUGUUACUCAAUGGUCGAGUAACUGUUCCGAAAGGAGAAGGACUUCAAGAGGAGAUUCUAAGGACUGCACACCAUUCUCUCUUAAGCAUUCAUCCCGGGAGCACAAAGAUGUAUCGAGAUAUCAGAAGAUAUUACCACUGGCCAGGGAUGAAGAGAGAUGUUGCCAUAUGGGUUUCCCAGUGUCAGAGUUGCCAGUGGCGAAGAUAUUAACACCAAGUCCCAGGUGGCUUACUUCAAAGCUUACCUAUCCCUGAAUGGAAAUGGGAUGCAGUAGCGAUGGACUUUAUUUCUGGUUUACCUCGAGCUCCCGGCCGUGGGAAUGAUGCAGUUCGGGGACGAAUUCUUUUAAGGGGGGAAGAGUGUAAUAACCCUCACGAGCCAAUAAAUUUAUGGUCGAGAAAAAUCCCGCUUGACCAGUUUUUUUUAGUUGGUUCGACAAGGAUUAAUAAAAAUACGACAGGACUGUCUUGUGGUUGAAAGACAUUCACUUGAUAGUUUGGUCGAGUCUUAAAUAUUUUGGUCGAAUUUUUAUUAAGCUGGACGAGAUUUUUCCGAGAAUAAAACGAGAGCCAAAGACAAGAAAUAUUUGGUUGAAAAAUUAUUUAAAACUGACAACCAACUUCCAAAAUAAUUUUUGAACUGAGUUAUGUCCUCCACCAGCCUGGUUGUGCAGUUAUUCAGUCUUAGACUUGCACCUACCUGCUUACCUAGCUUCUUCAGUAACUGGCACAUGACAAUCACAAGCUGCCUGCUUGCCUUGUUUCUUAGAUUGUCAUGUGAGAAGCACAUGAAAGGGCUGGAGUUUCUUCAGGUUAAGGAAAGGACAGCAGCUUGUGCUGAGAGUGCUGAAGCAGCUGGCCAUCUGUCCCCAUUCAGCUUAGCUCUGUCCUGAGUGAAACCCUCACCUGAAGCAAUCUCACCUCAUAUUUAACCCCUCUCCAGCUGCUUCCCACGUUCUGAAACCUCAUAAAAAUACACAAAAUUUUUAGAGAGAAAGAGAGAAAGAAGAAGAGAAAAUCAGGAAAUAAAAUCAAGAAAAAAAAUUGUUGGUGAUUUGAUCUUCAGCCCUAGCUCAGUCAGUUGCUGUGAGAAAGAUCAGAAGUUCAGCCACAAUCUAAUCUUGGGGAAGAGGAUCAGCUGAGGCCAUCUAGUCCUUUGGUUCAUCUUGGUAAGCUUUGGUCUCUUACCUCAGUCAUGUCUUGAUCAGAGCUAGUUGAUGUUUACAUAAGAACUUGGUCGGAUAAGUUCUCUAAGUGGUGAUAUAGUUCAGAUUUUGAUUAAUUUCGGUUUGAAUCAACCUCUUAGAACCACCAGCUAUGAUGUUCUGAUCUGGCUUUGAUUAAACCAAUUUGAACUCAGUCUGAUCUUGUCCUGAACUUUGGUAGACUGACUAGAACCAAGCUGAACUGGUAUAGUUUGAGUGGAACCAAGCUUGAACUGAUCUGAUCUAGGGUGUUAAAGAAUGAACCAAACUGAUCUUGUAGUCACUCACUUCUGUUUCAGGUCAGAGGGGGAGUAAGGCUUUAGGUAUCCAACCAGUUCCAAGACUAAUCUCUUAGGUGAGUCUAGAUAGAUGUUGAGAUUGAUUAAGUUAGUAAAGUCUCUCAAGUUUAUAAGAAUGGUGUUAUGUUUACUUAUUGUGAACUAUACAUAAGAGUAAUCAAAAUGUUAAAGUAAGGUUAAUCCUCAUCUUAGUACUUAUGAACAAGUACUAAUCUUAACUAUGAAAUAAUCAUGGUUUAAUUAAGGAUUAAUCUUCGUUUAAUUAAGAAUUAAUAUGAAAUUAAUUAAA